rnacentral:rRNA from 1 species
AGUGAACGCUGGCGGUAGGCCUAACACAUGCAAGUCGAACGGCAGCACAGUAAGAGCUUGCUCUUACGGGUGGCGAGUGGCGGACGGGUGAGGAAUACAUCGGAAUCUACUUUUUCGUGGGGGAUAACGUAGGGAAACUUACGCUAAUACCGCAUACGACCUACGGGUGAAAGCAGGGGAUCUUCGGACCUUGCGCGAUUGAAUGAGCCGAUGUCGGAUUAGCUAGUUGGCGGGGUAAAGGCCCACCAAGGCGACGAUCCGUAGCUGGUCUGAGAGGAUGAUCAGCCACACUGGGACUGAGACACGGUCCAGACUCCUACGGGAGGCAGCAGUGGGGAAUAUUGGACAAUGGGCGCAAGCCUGAUCCAGCCAUACCGCGUGGGUGAAGAAGGUCUUCGGGUUGUAAGGCCCUUUUGUUGGGAAAGAAAUCCAGCCGGCUAAUACCUGGUUGGGAUGACGGUACCCAAAGAAUAAGCACCGGCUAACUUCGUG